UCCCGUGUGGCUCAGUUGGUAGAGUACGGUGUUUGCAACGCCAGGGUUGUGGGUUCGAUUCCCACGGGGGGAC
rnacentral:tRNA from 1 species